ACAUCAUAACGAAGUUCAUCUCAUACGAGUGUGAAAAGGCAAUCAUCAUGCUUAUGAACCACAAGAUUAUCCUAUUUAUUUAUUUUCAAUUAUUUUAUCCUCCUCUGCCUCUUGCCCUGCACUAUAUAAGACCUGCGAUAUGAUGUUGAAUAAGGUGAAAAUGAACAUCAUUGCAUCACUCCUGAUAUCAAGGGAGGAAGUGUUCCAGUUCAGAAGGACUUUCUGGCUGAAGCUGAUCGAACAAACGCCCUGAUAUUCUUUGUACACCAGCAUCACUCACCCUUGAACUUGGAAGACAGCUCACAGGGCAGUCAGUACAGCCUUGCAGCUUGCAGAGAAGAAGGAAUCUUGAAAGUUCCAAGUUCCAAUCUCUCCUUCCCUACCUCUUUUCUUGACUUCUCUGGAACAAGCUAUCUGAAAGAAGAAAUAGUCACAUUACAAUUUUUUUUUUUUUUUCUGGGCUCACGUGAAUAUUGCUCCAGGGACAAGAAGAAAAAAAAAAAAUGUCUUCUCUAUUUCCUUAAGAAGGUCAGCAAGACAGAGCAGUUACAUUUCAUAUGCAGCCUCUCCAAGGACAUUCAUUUUCUCCACCAGAGCCCCAAGGUGGGCAAGGAGGGCCAGUUUUGUGCAGCGUCUGUUGUGUACAGCAUUCAGGACAACGUCCGCUUGGAUCCCGGCCUCUCCUCACAGAUGGAGGAGAUAAAGGAAGGUCCCUCUCCUGGUCUCCCUGCCAGGGAGGCUGUUGCUGACAGAGGGUAAGGGGCCUCCCAGAGUCCUCCUCAGGUGGGAGCAGAAGGUUGGUAUUGCUGACCUCGCAUAAGCUUUUACCUGAACUUGGGCUCUUGCCUGUCUUUGUUCUGAGGUAAGAUGGUGUGUGUGCGCGUGUGUGCGUGUGUGUGUUUGGAGGAUGUAUGAGGCAAGUUCAAGGUUGCAGGCAGGAAGCACUAUAGCUAUUUUAUCUCUGUACAUGUCAUCUUGUCAAAAAAUUCUGAGACUCUUCAAGUCCCAGGACCCUCACAAGUGAGGUCUCAAUGUCAACCCACCAGCAGCUUGACUAGCUACGGGAAUGGGAAUGGAGUUGCCUGGGCAGCUGAGUGAAGUGCUGGCCUCCGGUGCCCAUACCUGCUUGCCUGUGCCCAGGGGUAGAGCCUGGCUGUCAGGAGGGCUGCUGUGGGGGAGGCCUGGCACCUCAGGAGCCUCCUCUGUCACCUGCUUGCUCAGAUCCUAGGGACAGGAUGUCUUGGCCUCCUGUUCCUUGGAGUAGAGGGCAAGUUCUUGGUUGCAAACAAGAGGAAAUUGUUCUGGGUGGAAUAAAUGGAAAGAAAAUUUGUAGAGGGCCAUCAGGGCCAAGGGAUGUUCAGGUGGUCUGGGAGAGUAAAAGACAGGGAGGACAAUUAUUGAUUUUUAGCAGAUGUCUGGCCAGGACAUCACCCCUCUGCUACAUAGGGCUGUCCUGCCUCUCCCAGCUAUUCCCUAUGGCCCCUGCUACUGGACACCAUUUCCCUGUGUUCUCAUCUCCAGGGCCAAGGGUCCUUGAGUGCUACUCUCUCUGUCUCUUACCCACCCAGAACCAGAGGCCCACAUGGGAGCAGGGGAUGGGUUGGGCCCAGCCCACAUACCAGGGCUGGGGCGUGGUAGGGUCUGUUUUUUGUUUUUGUUUGUUUGUGUGUUUUUUAGGGGAGUUUGGACAGGGAAAAAAGGCAUAUGUUCAUCAGAGGAACGCUGAAGAAUCUGGCACAUCUUUUGUGGGGGAAUUAAUCAGAGUAACAAGGCUUAAUAAUGUUUUUCAAAUAACAGGUUUUUUCCCCCUUUUUCCUUCCAGAAUGUGAUGGACAGAUGGCAGAUGGAGAAUGAAUGGGCUUAAAUUACUGCAGGAGGGUGGAGAGAAGAUGUGUGAAGGAGUUUCCUGAUGGUGGUGGGUGGGCUCUGGGCCCCAGGGUGGGGUGACUCUGCAGCUGGUAGGCCCUCCCUGUGAAGAGAAAAGGGGAUCUCCCCAGUGACUCCUUUUCCUAUUGCUUCUCCUUGGAGACCUGGAGGCCCCUUAACUCUAGGAGGAUUGGGGCAGCAUCCUCUCCUGAGAUACAUGGAGGGGCAUAAUGAUGGGAGCAGGUAGCAGAGGCUGAGCCUGGGGCUCUUCACCUGUGAUUGUGCAGGAAGACACUAAUGGGGCCUUUCCCUAUUAGCCCUAAGGAAUUAGACUGAAAGGAAACUCCUGAUCUGAAAUGGCGGCAUUUGCUAAGUUAGAAAAUGGAAGUACCACCCAGUCUGGGGGAUCCCAUAGGCACCCAAGAGUGCACCAAGCCACUAGGACUGAGUUCACCUGAGAGUCCCACCCUGCUCGGAAUAUGCAGACUUGGUGUCCUGUCCCUUUAGAGCACUCCAUGCCUGGAAGUGCCACGGCCCACAUGGAAUGGGCCCAGCCAACAACUCUCAAGGAGCCCCAGCAACGAAUGAUGAGCAUCUCCCCUGAACCCAUCUCCCCAUGCCCGGUGUUUAAAGUGAAUUGUAACAAAUAUCUGAUAAAUGAAUAAACCUGUAAAUGGAAUCAAAAACCUUAUGAACUUGAAGGAGAAAUAGGAGUCCCAGGUCUGUUAAGUCUAAAUUGCAUAAAUCUGAUCAACUCCCUGACAGUUUCUGCCAAUGGCUUUUGAAGAGGAAGAAAAGGGGUGAGCAGAGAAAUUGGGCAGAGGAGGGGGAAGAGCGAGGGGCAGGGGAGGCAGGCAUGACUCAGAAAUUAAGCUAUCACCAGGAGUCCCCAGUGUUCCUUAGCUGGACUAAUAAAUGGAUGACAAUAGGAGUUCCUUGCAAGUCUGUCUGCUCCUAUGUGUCUGCCCAGAGGACACCUUUAGAGAAUGAGAGAUUUGCAUAAAAUGGGGCCAAAGUCUCCUUUUGGGCCUUUCUGGACAAGGAGCUGAGGAAGAACUGUGGCAUCCUGGAAUCAGCUACUGGGCCUAGAUGAGUUCAGCUGCUAGGAUGGAGUCCAUCUGGUUGGGUAGCUGGAGCUGGCGGCAGGGAGGUCACAUUCAGGAUGUGCUCAAGGGCUCUCGAUUUGGCCUCUGCCACUUUUUGUUCUGUUGGGCAAAUUACUUCCUGCAGUGGUUUUAAACAUGGCCACAGACUUCUUUAACACUCAUCCUAGUGAGAGGUGGUGGUGGUGGAUCUGUGUCCUCUUCUCUUGAAUCUAGGUGGCUUUGUGACUCCACUAAUACAGAAUGGUGGCAUUGAUGCUGUCUGACUUUUCAGGCUUGGCUGGAAAAGGUUGUGCAACUUCUGCCUGAGUUUCUUGGGACACUGUCGUUGGGGGAAAACAGGCCCUAUUUAGGAAAUCCAAUUGCCCGGAGAGUGCCAUGCUGGAGAGGUGUUCCUGUUCAAGGCCAUGCCCCACUGAGCUCCCGGCCAGUGGCCAACAUCAACGGCCAGCCGUGGGAAUGAACCUCGUGAGCCACCGAGUCUCGCCCAGCCUUUAGAUGACUGCAGUUCCAGCCCGUGUGCGACUGCAGCAGCUAAGUCACAGCUGCCUAAUCAAACUCUCCCCAAAUUUCUGACCUGCAAAAUUACAAACACUGUAAAAUUAUUGUUUUAAGCUGCUAAUUCAGGAGUAACUUGUCAAUAGCAACCAAAACACGCCCCCUCUUGGGUUUCAGUUUUUUUUUCUGAACCAUGAAGGGUUACACUAGAUCAUUUUUAAAACCGUAU